UACGUAGGGGGCAAGCGUUGUCCGGAUUUAUUGGGCGUAAAGCGCUCGAAGGUGGUUCGAUGCGUCGUGCGUGAAAGACCCCGGCUCAACUGGGGAGGGUCGUGCGAUACGGUCGAACUGGAGGCCAGUAGGGGGAUGCGGAAUUCCGGGUGUAGUGGUGGAAUGCGUAGAGAUCCGGAGGAACACCAGCGGCGAAGGCGGCAUCCUGGACUGGUCCUGACACUCAUGAGCGAAAGCGUGGGGAGCGAUCCGG
rnacentral:rRNA from 1 species